UACGGUCAUAUUACGUUGAAACACCGGUUCUCAUACGUUUACAGAAGUUAAGCAAUAUCGUUUCUGGUCAGUACCUAGAUUGGUGACCUCGUAGGAAUACCAGGUGCU